ensembl:lncRNA
AAAAAAUGUAGUUAAGCCUUUGGGCUGUUUUGUCCUGUCAGCUUUUAAAAAGCUUUGGUUUAGCUUUUAUUUUCUUUCUGUAUUUAGGUAAACACCCGGUGGUUUUCUAGAGCAUUCGGUCCCGGGAUGGUGCGGGAAAUGCAGGAUUUAAGCCUUCCAACCAACACUACUCAAAAUAAAGGCCCAUGUCGUCGCCACAUGUCUGGUGACCCGCGAAUCUCAGUGGCCGGAAGUCCCUUAAAAGCAGAGCUUGGGUUCGACCCGGUGACGGAGCAAGCCGGGAGGCGGGAAAGCCAGGUAACCGAGAGGAGGGAAAGUGCCGGGCUGGUGCGGAGCAGCACUGACGGCCACGCCGGGCCUCAGAGCCACGCUGAGUUCCUGCAAGGCCCGAGGCGCUGUUCUGGGAGAGCGGGACCCAUCGGAGGACUAGGAGGUGCUGUUCGGGGGUGCAGGCUCCGGGGGGCGGGGGGCAGUCCGGCAGGGGUGCUGGGAGGCCUCGGGAACCGGGGAGCUGGGGCGAGCAGGCUCUGGGACCGGAACUGCUCUGAAAAGCGUCCAGUUAAACCCAGCAAGGCCAAAGCCCACGGGGCGAGGUCGGGAGCCCGCGGGGCAGCGCGGAAAAGCCACGCGCACCGCACCGCGGGGAACGGGUUACAAACAACAGGAAAUGUUGAACCAUUUUCUUUCCAGUGUGAGGGAUUGAGCCCCGGGCAGCCCCAGCCCUUUAAACUGUUUGUAUCUGACACGUGGUGUCGCUGAGUGGCUCGCAACCCCCCGCCCCCGGUACUGGGAUAACAGACGUGCGCCACGACUGCCGGUUGGCAAGCAUUUUAUUUAACGUAAAAAAAAAUCCACCACAUAGAAGAGGCUUCAGGGACACAGCCACGCGCGCCCCCGCCCACCGCGCGGCCCCGCCCACCGCACUUUUUCGUUGUGGCCGGGCGGGGGCGCGCGGGCUUCGUCAGCCGGCGCGUUCCCAGAGGCCCCCGUGCGCGCAUGCGCUACGCGCAGUGCCUGGAAGCCGGGGCGGCCGGUGUCCGGCUGUCGCCGUCGUGGGUCAGGUACGACGCGGGAGAGGGGGUUGCCCAAGUCCUCAGCUUAGGAGCCCUGGCGGACGCCGCGGGACCGGCCGCACCCGGCGGGGACCCCCACACACGGGUGCCCGCUGUGGAUCCCGAGUCGCGCAGACCGCGAGGGGAGAUAUCUGCCAGCCAGCUUCUGUGCAAGACAUCUGCUGCUGUGUUUCAGUAGUGUGAGCCUCUUCCAGGUCAAGAAGUUAUUUAAAACUAUGAGUGUCCCUUGUUUUUUGCUCGAACUUGAUCAAGCAGUAUAGAAGUGCCUGGAGCUCAUCAAAUGGACCGGCUCGCGGGAGGUCCCAGGCCGACACUCCACUGGGUGUUCUGCGAUGAUUGAUAGCUUUGAACCUUGAGGUGGUGGAGACAGCGCGGCACAUGGGAGAAAGGUGAGGCUAUCAGGGUGCGCUUCCCAGCACCGUGUCCCUCCGAGUCUCUCGCUACUGGGGUUGUCCCCAGGGCAGGCGACACAGCAGCAAACUGAGGCGGACUCAGGGAAAGGAACAGCCCCUCUCCCAGCCUGAGUGAGCCCCCGAUCCACAGUCCAGGCCUGGCACCCGGCCAGAAGCGAGGCUUCUUUGCACCUGCCAUGCUCCGCACAUGGGCGCAGUGGCCGCCGAGAGAGAGUGUGCACUCGGACUCGGGGCUGUGGCUGCGCUGUACCUGUCAGACCUCGGGCGCCCCGUCACCGCCACAGCCAGUGCGUGCCUGGGUGUGCGCGCGCGCCUGCUCCAGACGCCGCCAUUCAGCCACCGUGGAGGGGAGUCCAUGCCACACACCUUCUCCGAAGCCACCCCUGCUUCAGACAAAAAAGCAUCGCCACGACCAGCUUGGUAUGGCAGGAUAAAGCUCUGUUUAACUGACAUUCUAGUCAACUUUGGAUGUGUUUUCCUUCCAAAUACACAGAGCAAAUACUCAAAUACGCACAAGUGACAAGUCCUGCUUCGCGUGAGCUCUGAGAUGAUGUGGGAUCUUUGUCCCUCGGAGCUGCGGUUUCCUCGUCUGUACCACGGAGCCUAAUGAGGACACGCAGAAGACACCCAGUGCAGUUCC